rnacentral:rRNA from 1 species
AUGAGAGGUGACCCCGAGCUGCGGCAAGCAAAGGAGUUGGAGUCCCCGGGCCGCCAGCCAACCACCAACGGCCAAGCUACCUCCGCAACCUUCCACGCUGUACGGGGGGACACCGUCCUCAUCACCGUCGCCGUCGACAACCCUCUCCUCGCCAGGAGCGUCGCCAUCCAAUGGCACGGCACCCGCGAGACCGGCACGCCGGCGGCCCACAGCAUCGAGGGCCACACCUUGACGUACAAUUUCGUGGCGGACCGGCCGGGCACCUUCACCUACUGCGCGCGCUACGGCCGCAACCGCGCCGCGACCUUCACCGACGCGCAGGGACGCGAGGCCUGGCCGUCCGCCGGCGACCGCGCACGCGCCGACGCCGGACAUCGCGUCCGUGUGCCACGCAGCUAUGCGGGGCCUUCCGCCUGCCGACGAACACCGACGGGCGAGCAAGAACUCGUCUACGUCCGCGGCGGCCGGAACCAUGCGCGCGUUGAGGCGCAACUCAUGGCUGGUAACACUACUAUCUACCUCAAUGACGAAGGCCCGGUCGUGCGGUUCCUCCGGUGGUCCGCCGUCGGAUUGACGGCCGCGGCCUUGUGGGUCUCAGCUGUAUGCGGCGGGAGGUGUGACCCUGUUAUGCGCUGCCGAGGAGACGGCCCAUUAGACGUAAGGUUUAUAGGUCGAGCAAAUCCUCAUGUUUCACGGGCUCCCAGCUUCCCGCCGCCUUGA